GACGAACGCUGGCGGCGUGCUUAACACAUGCAAGUCGAACGGAAAGGCCCUGCUUUUGUGGGGUGCUCGAGUGGCGAACGGGUGAGUAACACGUGAGUAACCUGCCCUUGACUUUGGGAUAACUUCAGGAAACUGGGGCUAAUACCGGAUAGGAGCUCCUGCUGCAUGGUGGGGGUUGGAAAGUUUCGGCGGUUGGGGAUGGACUCGCGGCUUAUCAGCUUGUUGGUGGGGUAGUGGCUUACCAAGGCUUUGACGGGUAGCCGGCCUGAGAGGGUGACCGGCCACAUUGGGACUGAGAUACGGCCCAGACUCCUACGGGAGGCAGCAGUGGAGAAUAUUGCAGAAUGGGCGGAAGCCUGAUGCAGCGACGCCGCGUGCGGGAUGACGGCCUUCGGGUUGUAAACCGCUUUCGCCUGUGACGAAGCGUGAGUGACGGUAAUGGGUAAAGAAGCACCGGCUAACUACGUG
rnacentral:rRNA from 1 species